rnacentral:lncRNA from 1 species
AAGGUACAACAAAGCAAAUAUGCUCUUCUGAUCUUUGGUUCAGUUAUUAUUCCCUCGGGAUAUGUUCUAAAAGCAAAAAAUGCCAUGUGCUACCUGAAAACAUAUAUGUCAAUGUGUAUGAAGCCUGGCUUGUUUCAUGCUGCAUCAUCUGCAUUGUAGUUUGAUUUAUUUUCUGGUCCCCUUUUGGAUACCUCCCAUCCACUGGACAGCAAUACCAAUGCAGAGUACUUGUUAGAGAUGUCCUAGUUAUUUGGGGUACCUAUGAUAAGUGUCACCAUCCAAUAUGGGCAUAUUAGUGUCAAACAGCUGCUUUCCAGUAUAUAGGCACAGGAUCAAGUUUAGAUAUGUGCUUUGUGACUGUUAGAUGAGUUUCUGUUAAUGUGGAAGAACUGUGUACAGUAAAAUGUGAAAGAAAGUGCAUCGCUGUUGGUUUUGCAACAAUAAUGGUGUGCACACCCAUUCUUCAUAAUUUGAAGUAAGUAGAGGUAAUCUUUUGUAAAUUUCCAAUCUGGUCUUGGACACAGUUGGGCAUGGAUUUCUUCCAGCAUUUAAGUUACAAAACAAAAGGAGGAAUUGGCUAGCCAUAUUCUUAUUCAUUGUGGAUGGGCUUCUAAUUUGUGGUCUUUGGUAUUCUCCUUGUGCGAGGUGCCUUUGGCUCUGCCCGUGGCAGCUAGAGACAUUUUAUUGAGUAGGCAUGGCAAUUUCAAGGGAAAGAGAUGCAAGGCAGUAUGGAAAAUGGCUUGUUUGCCUUUGUUUUGAAUAAUAUGAGAAAGAGGAAUUAAGAGAUCUUUUGAUGGGUUAAAGCAGUCAAUUUUAGCUGUAAAGAGGGAGUUCCUUAAAACUCUGUUUGUGUAGUAUAGAAGUUGGAUGAUGGAUGUAGACAGUCUCCAUUGUUGAUUUUGUAGAUGGUUUAGGGUACUUUUGAAUCAUAUGGUUCAUGCUUUUCUUAUUAUUCUGUUGGUCAUGUGUGCCUUGUCUACUUCUUGUGUACUUGGAUCAUGCCUCCUUUUUGUGAGAUGCAUUUUGUAUAUACAUAUGAACUAUAUCAAUCCAUCUUGAAUAUCAUGAUGAAUGGUUUAUCUAAAGUUGAUCCAGGUGAUUCCUGAGUGGCAACUUUGGGUGGAUGACCUGCUAAUUUGCAUAUUUUUAUUCUUUUCAGGGUAAAGAGUCAGUUGAAAAGGAUUGCUCGACCAAUGUACUCAAAUCCUCCUAUUCAUGGAGCUAGGAUUGUUGCCAAUGUUGUUGGUGAUCCAGCUCUCUUCAAUGAAUGGAAAGAGGAGAUGGAAUUGAUGGCUGGAAGGAUAAAGAAUGUGAGACAGAAACUAUUUGACAGCCUCUCUGCAAAAGAUAAGUGUGGAAAGGAUUGGUCAUUUAUACUAAAGCAGAUUGGCAUGUUCUCAUUCACAGGGCUGAGCAAAGUUCAGGUAAUGCUCUCUCAACUUUUCUUAUCAGCAUUGAACUUUAUGCUUAUAUUUUUUAUUUUUUUUUAUAGGAAACGACAAAGGAAAAUAUUGAUAGAAAAAUAAAGUACAAGAGAAGGAUGAGGAAUCCUCCCACCAAAGAAAACUAAACUACAAGAAUACGAAAACAAAGAAAUACAAUGUAAUAACGAACAAACACUCUAGACUAGAUCAACCCAAAUGAAUUACACGCCGCUAGCCAAUCAAGUUGUAACACAAUAAGGGGAGUCCCCUUAAAGACCUUGGAACAAAAAGCCCAAAGAGAAGCAAGGAAAUGAAUAGAAUCCCAAAGAUUCUCUGAAUUCCUUGUUUUAUCCUCAAAAAUCCUCGCGUUUCUUUCCCGCCACACAACCCAAAUUAUAGCUAUGCACUUUAUGCUUAUAUUUGAUUUUAGAAUUUCUUUUCCAGCCUUGUCAUCCUUGUGGGGAUGCAUACCUUGAUUUGAUAUUAAUAUCUUGAGUCUAUCAUCUUGUCCCCCCACCCAACAAACACACACAAAAAGAAUCUGGUGAAAUGUUUUUUAUCCUUUACUUCUUUCUUAAGCUUCUAUAAGUUCAAUUUGUUUGCAUGUGGUGCAAUAAUUCAGGAUUAGUUGCUAACCCCUUAAGCAUUGAAUAAUUCCUGAACGAGCAAUGCUAUAAGAAUUUUCAACCUGGCAUUCGACCAUUCAAACUUGCAGGGAAAUAAUCUUCCAGCCCAUUUCCCUUUAACCUAAAAGCAAAAACACCAGCAGCCAUUAACUUCAAACACUGUUAUUUUCAAAACAAUUUAUGUGGAACUUUUGUAGAUGCUGUUUGUAAGAAAUGCAUUGUCCUUAUUCAUUCCAAAUAAUUUUGAGAAUGAAAAAAUGUGUAUUAUUGCCAAAUGUACUUUGAUUUUUGUAAAAGUUUGUAAGAAAAGCAACCAGUCCUUAUUUUCCCUUUUCCCUUCCAUUCUUUGAUAGAUGGGUAUUGUCAUUCUUGAAUCAUUUCAAAUACUUUGAGAAUGAAUAUAUAUGCUUAUUGUUUGCAAAUGUUUAUUCCCAACACCCCCCCACCACACAUCCAGAUUCCUUCCUGAGUUUCCAAACUACUCCCAAAACUGGAUCUAUGUUUUGUUGUUACAGCUACCUAUCAAAAAAUAAAAAAAUGUUUUGUUGUUGUCACAGCUAGCUUCCUAACAAGUGACUGUAGUUUUGGUGGCUGUUUAUACUAGCAUAUCAUUCUGUUUCCUGGACUUAUACUUUGGCUUUUCUCUUUGUCCAAUCAGAGUGAGAAUAUGACAAAUAAGUGGCAUGUGUACAUGACCAAGGACGGGAGGAUCUCAUUGGCUGGAUUGUCUUUGGCCAAAUGCGAAUAUCUUGCAGAUGCCAUCAUUGAUUCAUUUCACUGUGUCAGUUGAUAUCGGUGGAUGGAUGAUAGAUAUGCAUUUUACAAGCACACAAUUGAUCAUACUGGGUGAGUCCUGAAUUCCCUAGCAAUUAUUCCAUUCAGACUUUUUGCAAAAUCUUGUAAUAAUUUAUGAUAUCUGACUCUCUGAAUUCCUGCAUUUGAAGUUCAUAAUUGAGGCAAUUUUGUUACAUUCUAGUAAUUGAAGAAGCACACCUGAGGCAGAGUUUUGUGAUUUUUUACUUAGGUGUCUAAUCAGAUGCUCCUAUUUGUUUUUUAAAACAAAAACAAAAACAAAAAAACCGUACUUCAACUUGGUGGAAAACCAAUGUUUUGAAAACCGAACUGAUCAGUCAGUCCAACCAUUACCUGAACUUGGCGAUUCCGUGUAAAUCGAACAGUUCAAUCCCCCUUCUUUCAUCAAAGAGGCCCAGAAGAGAGCCCUG